CCUGCACGUCAUUAGUGCGGGCUCCCACAUGAUGAGAGCAGGGCUUACCUGUCCCUCCCCUCUCCCCACUUGGAGGCAACGCCCCCUUUUCCACACUGACCCAUAGCAACGCAGGCUCCUUUACAGACCCCUCCCACCUUACUCCUCCCCCUCUCCUAUUUAAAAGCCAAGCAGCCCCACAAUGUCAGACAUUGCUGGAUGGCUGCAGCAGCUGUACACACUCUACACUGCUUGUGUUUUCUUCCCAUCUUCCGAUCCCUCUACUGACCUCUCUGGCCACUUUUUGUCAUUACAGGUAAAAAUAUAUAUAUAUACAAUCAAUAAACUUUUACGCUGUGACACUUCGGGCCAAAGGUCUUGCUACGCUGUGAUUGAUAUUAGAUGCCAGUCCUCACUCCUCUCCUUACCAUCUGAGGCUUGCCAUGCGUCCCGAUUGCGAUGUCCUUUUAAGGGGUGUGCUGAGCCGUUGAAACUUCUCGGGUGAAAAGUUGUCUGUUACACUUUCUGACUCCACACAUACUUC